CGCGGGGUGGAGCAGCCAGGUAGCUCAUUGGGCUCAUAACCCAAAGGUCGUAGGUUCAAAUCCUACCCCCGCUACCA
rnacentral:tRNA from 1 species